CCUACGGGAGGUAGCAGUGGGGAAUUUUGGACAAUGGGCGCAAGCCUGAUCCAGCAAUGCCGCGUGAGUGAAGAAGGCCUUCGGGUUGUAAAGCUCUUUUGUCAGGGAAGAAACGGUGGGAGCUAAUAUCUCCUGCUAAUGACGGUACCUGAAGAAUAAGCACCGGCUAACUACGUGCCAGCAGCCGCGGUAAUACGUAGGGUGCAAGCGUUAAUCGGAAUUACUGGGCGUAAAGCGUGCGCAGGCGGUUUUGUAAGACUGUCGUGAAAUCCCCGGGCUCAACCUGGGAAUGGCGAUGGUGACUGCAAGGCUAGAGUUUGGCAGAGGGGGGUAGAAUUCCACGUGUAGCAGUGAAAUGCGUAGAUAUGUGGAGGAACACCGAUGGCGAAGGCAGCCCCCUGGGUCAAAACUGACGCUCAUGCACGAAAGCGUGGGGAGCAAACAGGAUUAGAUACCCUGGUAGUCCACGCCCUAAACGAUGUCUACUAGUUGUCGGGUCUUAAUUGACUUGGUAACGCAGCUAACGCGUGAAGUAGACCGCCUGGGGAGUACGGUCGCAAGNUUAAAACUCAAAGAUUAGACGGCGNGAGAGAGCGACGACGACGACGAGGAGGAGG
rnacentral:rRNA from 1 species